GGGAAGACUGGAGAAGGAUGUGCACAGCAGGAUGAUUGCAGGCCCCGAUCCCGAGGCCGAGCAGGAAGCGCUCCCAGCUCUCCUGGGCCCUUCCUGGUGCUGUGAGCAGUCUAUCUCACUUCUGCUCACCAGGCUCAUCCCCACUGCCAUCUUGGGCCAUGAGGUCAAGGCCAUACACGCUGGAGAAAGAAGGGAGAAGGAAGCUGGGAACCUAAUAACAUGCAGAACCACAUGAGCCCUGGACUUCUGUGAGAGACAAAUAAAAUUUGAUUUUAAGUCACCAA